CCCUUAGAUGUUCUGGGCUGCACGCGUGCUACACUGAUAUUGCCAAUAUGUCAUUCUUAUCCGAAAUGGAUUGGGUAAUCAAGUAAUGAAAUUUCAUGCUUGGAAUCGGUAAUUGCAAUUUUAUCGUGAACGAGGAAUUCCUAGUAAGCACUAGUCAUCAGCUAAUGUUGAUUAUGUCCCUGCCCUUUGUACACACCGCCCGUCGCUACUACCGAUUGAAUGGUUUAGUGAGAAUUUUGGACUGGAACUCCCUUGCUCAGCAAUGGGCGAGGGGGAGUCCGGGAAGCUAUUCUAACUGUAUCAUUUAGAGGAAGUAAAAGUCGUAACA
rnacentral:rRNA from 1 species